rnacentral:rRNA from 1 species
UACGAAGGGGGCGAGCGUUGUUCGGAUUUACUGGGCGUAAAGGGCGCGUAGGCGGCGGGUCAAGUCGAGUGUGAAAGCCCCGGGCUCAACCUGGGAAUUGCGCUCGAGACUGGUCUGCUUGAGUUCGGGAGAGGAGAGUGGAAUUCCCAGUGUAGAGGUGAAAUUCGUAGAUAUCAGGAGGAACACCGAUGGCGAAGGCAGGUCUCUGGGCCACUACUGACGCUGAGAAGCGAAAGCAUGGGGAGCGAACAGG